rnacentral:rRNA from 1 species
AUUGAACGCUGGCGGCAGGCUUAACACAUGCAAGUCGAGCGGAGAGAGGUAGCUUGCUACUGAUCUUAGCGGCGGACGGGUGAGUAAUGCUUAGGAAUCUGCCUAUUAGUGGGGGACAACAUUUCGAAAGGAGUGCUAAUACCGCAUACGUCCUACGGGAGAAAGCAGGGGAUCUUCGGACCUUGCGCUAAUAGAUGAGCCUAAGUCGGAUUAGCUAGUUGGUGGGGUAAAGGCCUACCAAGGCGACGAUCUGUAGCGGGUCUGAGAGGAUGAUCCGCCACACUGGGACUGAGACACGGCCCAGACUCCUACGGGAGGCAGCAGUGGGGAAUAUUGGACAAUGGGCGCAAGCCUGAUCCAGCCAUGCCGCGUGUGUGAAGAAGGCCUUAUGGUUGUAAAGCACUUUAAGCGAGGAGGAGGCUACUUUGGUUAAUACCUAGAGAUAGUGGACGUUACUCGCAGAAUAAGCACCGGCUAACUCUGUGCCAGCCGCCGCAGUAACAC